rnacentral:rRNA from 1 species
UGGGGAAUAUUGCACAAUGGGCGCAAGCCUGAUGCUGCCAUGCCGCGUGUAUGAAGAAGGCCUUCGGGUUGUAAAGUACUUUCAGCGGGGAGGAAGGCGAUAAGGUUAAUAACCUUGUCGAUUGACGUUACCCGCAGAAGAAGCACCGGCUAACUCCGUGCCAGCAGCCGCGGUAAUACGGAGGGUGCAAGCGUUAAUCGGAAUUACUGGGCGUAAAGCGCACGCAGGCGGUCUGUCAAGUCGGAUGUGAAAUCCCCGGGCUCAACCUGGGAACUGCAUUCGAAACUGGCAGGCUAGAGUCUUGUAGAGGGGGGUAGAAUUCCAGGUGUAGCGGUGAAAUGCGUAGAGAUCUGGAGGAAUACCGGUGGCGAAGGCGGCCCCCUGGACAAAGACUGACGCUCAGGUGCGAAAGCGUGGGGAGCAAACA